ensembl:lncRNA
AUGACAAAUAUGUUUUUUUACUCUUUCAGCCAUGAAAGCCAAGCAGAAAACACAGUACCAGCUACUUCCAGAUGGUUUUCCAGGAGAACAAGCACAGAUAUGGUUUGCCCUGAUGCAGAAAGGAGCAGUACCCCUGAUGAACGUUGCUGGUGUGAGUGCCUGUCUCUGCAGCACACCUGUGCUCCGGAGUUGGAGCUUGAAUCUGAUCUGCUCCCAGAGGAGCAGCCCGAGGACUGCCCAAAGCACUGGGAUGGUGCCUCCAUAGCAGCGUGUGUGGGAGAACAUGUGGGCUGCUGAAUCUUCAGGCAGAUGACAUGAUAUUUUAUUUCACUCUAUUUCUAGAAACCCCGAACCUUCGUUCCUGAGUGGUGUAUGGUGCAUUAGUGAUGGUGGGAGGUGGCAAAUGCAUGAUUCAGCGGUGCCUGGGUCUUUAUCCUUCAGUACAGACCCAGCACAAACAGGGGGAAGAGCUUCUAGCUGAGGGCUGGAAUGGGCUGUUUGGCUGUGAGGGCAGUCCUGAGGGAUGCCCCUGGGAGAGGGGUAUGUGCUCUGUCUCUGUCUUGUAAACCUGCCCUGCUUCCUAACACAUCACACUCCACCUAAUUUUAGGUAUGCUCUAGACCUUUAGUUUCUUAUGGAGCUUCCAUGGGAUCUUGUGGACUACCCUCAUUAUGAUUAACCUUAUUAGCCAGUUUCAGCCAGAAAGGGGCUUCAAAAAUAGCACUGAAAAAAAAAAAAAAAAAAAAAAAGUUGCGUGCAGGAGAAAAGAGAAAAGAGAAAAGAGAAAUUGUUCAGAGGAAAUUGUUCCCAGGAUUUCCUCUGAGAGUCACCAGUGCUGCAGCACAUGCCAGCUUGCAUGUUGUCACCAAAGUAUGCUUCUGGGGAGAGCUGUAAGGCAGGAAAAGCUGAAGGGUUAGGAGGGAAGAGCAAACCGUACUGUGAUUCACUUAGAAAGCCAGUUAACCCCAGGGCAAAAGGCCAGAGAGAACAUGGCUGGUCACCUCUGUUAUUCACUGGCUGCUCCAUCCUUGCUCUGGACUUGGCCCAGCCCCAGGCAGCUGGACAGCAUUGGCCAUGUAGGGUCAGGGACUGAGGUUAGGGACAGCUGAACAAACCCCGUGCUUCUGCACAAAGAGAUCUUCAUGCAAGGAGGAGAAGUCAUCAGCCAUGCCCAGGAUGUCCCCAGACAGCACACUGAAGUCCAUGAAUCACAAGUUGCUCUGCAAUCACAAGGCUGAGUCCUGUCCUUUUCCCCCAGUAUAAUCCUAUUAGAGAUCACAGGGUUACAACUCAUCGUGCAAAAAGAAUUUGACCUGUGCUUCCCCUCAGGCUGCCAGAUGAGGGCUAGUCCAUGGUGGGGGUUGUUGCUGUGCUGAGGGGAAGGCAAAGGAGGCAGGUGUUUGGGCAAGACAUUGUGUUUUCUUAGUUUUUAACUGCUAAUAAGCCAGCAGAGGAGCACAGCACAUUGAUUGAUUCAGUGUGUCUUGGGACUGGAAACACCCUCGUUUGCAGCUGCAGGAGCUGCUCAGCUCUGUUAGCUGGAAAAAAACCAGGACAUCAGCUGGAGAAGUGCAGCUUCUGCAUAUUUCCUUUCACAUAAAAUUAUAGUGGUGGGCUUACUCCGUGCUCCCUUAGUCUAGCUACAGCUUAAGUGCCUUAGACCCCCACCCUGGGAGAGGUUGAACCGGAGAUAAUACAAACAUUUAGUGGCACAGCAAUAAAAUUACACCCUAAGGUGUGAUGGCUCUUCA